GAUGAACGCUAGCUACAGGCUUAACACAUGCAAGUCGAGGGGAAACGACAUCGAAAGCUUGCUUUUGAUGGGCGUCGACCGGCGCACGGGUGAGUAACGCGUAUCCAACCUGCCCAUCACUUGGGGAUAACCUUGCGAAAGUAAGACUAAUACCCAAUGAUAUCUCUAGAAGACAUCUGAAAGAGGUUAAAGAUUUAUCGGUGAUGGAUGGGGAUGCGUCUGAUUAGCUUGUUGGCGGGGUAACGGCCCACCAAGGCAACGAUCAGUAGGGGUUCUGAGAGGAAGGUCCCCCACAUUGGAACUGAGACACGGUCCAAACUCCUACGGGAGGCAGCAGUGAGGAAUAUUGGUCAAUGGGCGAGAGCCUGAACCAGCCAAGUAGCGUGCAGGAAGACGGCCCUAUGGGUUGUAAACUGCUUUUAUAAGGGAAUAAAGUGAGAGUCGUGACUCUUUUUGUAUGUACCUUAUGAAUAAGGACCGGCUAAUUCCGUG
rnacentral:rRNA from 1 species